rnacentral:rRNA from 1 species
CCUACGGGGGGCUGCAGUGGGGAAUAUUGCACAAUGGGGGAAACCCUGAUGCAGCAACGCCGCGUGAGUGAUGACGGUCUUCGGAUUGUAAAGCUCUGUCUUCAGGGACGAUAAUGACGGUACCUGAGGAGGAAGCCACGGCUAACUACGUGCCAGCAGCCGCGGUAAUACGUAGGUGGCAAGCGUUGUCCGGAUUUACUGGGCGUAAAGGGAGCGUAGGUGGAUAUUUAAGUGGGAUGUGAAAUACUCGGGCUUAACCUGAGUGCUGCAUUCCAAACUGGAUAUCUAGAGUGCAGGAGAGGAAAGUAGAAUUCCUAGUGUAGCGGUGAAAUGCGUAGAGAUUAGGAAGAAUACCAGUGGCGAAGGCGACUUUCUGGACUGUAACUGACACUGAGGCUCGAAAGCGUGGGGAGCAAACAGGAUUAGAUACCCUAGUAGUC